CCACGGGAGGCAGCAGUAGGGAAUCUUCCGCAAUGGACGAAAGUCUGACGGAGCAACGCCGCGUGAACGAUGAAGGCUUUCGGGUCGUAAAGUUCUGUUGUCAGGGAAGAACAAGUACCGGAGUAACUGCCGGUACCUUGACGGUACCUGACCAGAAAGCCACGGCUAACUACGUGCCAGCAGCCGCGGUAAUACGUAGGUGGCAAGCGUUGUCCGGAAUUAUUGGGCGUAAAGCGCGCGCAGGCGGUUCCUUAAGUCUGAUGUGAAAGCCCCCGGCUCAACCGGGGAGGGUCAUUGGAAACUGGGGAACUUGAGUGCAGAAGAGGAGAGCGGAAUUCCACGUGUAGCGGUGAAAUGCGUAGAGAUGUGGAGGAACACCAGUGGCGAAGGCGGCUCUCUGGUCUGUAACUGACGCUGAGGCGCGAAAGCGUGGGGAGCGAACAGGAUUAGAUACCCUGGUAGUCCACGCCGUAAACGAUGAGUGCUAAGUGUUAGAGGGUUUCCGCCCUUUAGUGCUGCAGCUAACGCAUUAAGCACUCCGCCUGGGGAGUACGGCCGCAAGGCUGAAACUCAAAGGAAUUGACGG
rnacentral:rRNA from 1 species